AUUGAACGCUGGCGGCAUGCCUUACACAUGCAAGUCGAACGGCAGCACGGGUGCUUGCACCUGGUGGCGAGUGGCGAACGGGUGAGUAAUACAUCGGAACGUACCUUAUCGUGGGGGAUAACGCAGCGAAAGCUGUGCUAAUACCGCAUACGCCCUGAGGGGGAAAGCGGGGGAUCGAAAGACCUCGCGCGAUUAGAGCGGCCGAUGCCUGAUUAGCUUGUUGGUAGGGUGAAAGCCCACCAAGGCGACGAUCAGUAGCUGGUCUGAGAGGACGAUCAGCCACACUGGGACUGAGACACGGCCCAGACUCCUACGGGAGGCAGCAGUGGGGAAUUUUGGACAAUGGGGGCAACCCUGAUCCAGCAAUGCCGCGUGAGUGAAGAAGGCCUUCGGGUUGUAAAGCUCCUUUGUCAGGGAAGAAACACCGGCUCUAACACAGUCCGGGAAUGACGGUACCUGAAGAAUAAGCACCGGCUAACUACGUGCCAGCAGCCGCGGUAA
rnacentral:rRNA from 1 species